UCUUGAGAAAACACAGGGAAGUUUCCCUAUAGUCCAUAUGCUGCCACCAAAUAGAAUGGAAGGAGAAUCAAAGUCUGUACUGAUACUAUCUCACUCUGGUUCAAAGGAAGAGUCACUGGACUGCAAGAGAUAUUCCACCGUUCCUACCAGCUAAAAAUAAGACAUUCAAAUAGGAGCACAUGGAAAAAGCAACUGAAAAGCGCAACUGAGAAAGUGAGGGAUUACAUGUUUUGGGAAAAGACAGCUACCAUGUUGAGCAACUAUACACAACAAUGCACAUGAUAAGGGACUAAGAUAAGGCUCAACAACAAAGAUGGAAGCAAAAGACUGGAAGCAAAUUCUCUAAUUUCCAAAAAGUCUCAGAUGAGACCUCAUGAGGAAUCAAGCUACCUAUGCCAAGCUACACAGCUAAGCUGCUCAAAGAUUCCUGAACUACAGAAACUGUGAUAUAAUAAAUGUCUGUUUUAAACCA